GUGCUGGCUUUGGCGGCACAUACACUAAAACUGGAACUAGACAAAGAAGAUUAGCAUGGCCCCUGUAAAAGGAGGACAGGUUAUCCGUGGACAAUUCCAAAUGUUUU